rnacentral:lncRNA from 1 species
UUUUUUAUUCUUUAUCAUUUAGAUUUAAGUUUAUUCGUUGUGACUCCAGAAUUCACACAGUUUGAAUUCUAUUAUCACUUGUACGCUUGCAUCCAUUACUAUGACCGGAUCCUAUAUGCAUACACAUGGGGAUUCCUUUUUGCAUUGACUGCUAGUAAAUCUUCUUGCUAAGUAUGUACAUCCGGCCAAUCCGAUACAUCAAACAUGUUGAGACGGGGGGCCAUUGUUUUAGUGGAUUUUCCUUGGUGGCAGGCGGUAAACGUGUCUACUCCCUCCGUUCCGAAAUAUAGGUCGCUGGAGGAUUGGUUCCGACCAGGUGAACACGGUGGAAUUUACAUCGCUGCCCCUAGUAUGAAUCGGUAUCCCCAUCGUCUUCUUCCUCCCUCCGAGGAUUUGAAAUUCUCCGCCAGGCCAUCGUCCGCCCGCCCGCCCCUGCUUCUCCUCCACGCGCCCAGGUCCCAGGCGCUCCCAGGCCCAGGUCCCCUACUUCUCCUCAGCGCUCCCAGGCCCAGGUCCUCAUCUCCAGCAGCAGCGAUCCAGGGGCGUCCAGCAGCAGCGAUCCAGGGGCGCCAAGGAGGGUCCUCGUCUCCCAGAAGGAGCACGCGGCAGCAGCAGUCCCAGGUCCCAGAUCCAGAUCUAGCAGCAGCGAUCCCAGGUCCUCAGGGCCUUCUCCCGAUCCUUCUUCUCCUGGGCGUGCUCCUUCUCCUGCAACAGCAGCAACAACAGAGUUUAGAGUCAUACUGAUCAGCAGCAGCAACAACAGCUGCUGGGUUCUUCUGCAGGUGGAGUAUGGCAGCAGCAGCAGCAGUAGUUUCAGAGCAGCAGCAGCAGCAGCAGCAAUAGUUUGACAACAGCAGCAGCAGCAACUUUUCAUUUACUAAUUUUUUUAUUUAACAGAAAAGGUUUAAUGAAAACUUUCAUUUACUGAAUUGAAAAGGUUUAAUUAACAGAAAAGGUUUAAUUGACUAAGAAGAGAUGAGAAGAAGGUUGCUUGUACUCCUACACUAAAACUGGCAGAGAAGAGAGUAGAAGAGGAGUAGAAGAGCAAGCAGAGAAGAGAAGAGAAAGGGAAGACAGGAGAAAGAGAAGAGAGAAGAGAGCAACUAAACUACUCCUGCAAGAGGGCAAGAAGAGAGACAAUUGUUAGAGUGACAAUUAAAGACCACACACAGUGAGUACUACUGCAAGAGGGCAGUACUGGAGGGCAAAAGAUAGAGAAGAGAGAAGAAAGAGAAGAGAAGAGAAAGAGAAGAAGAGAGCAAGGAGAGAGAAGAGGGCACUCCAAUAAUACUGCUACACUUGCAAUCCUAAUCCUCACUAGUGCAAUCUGGAGAAGAGUGGAGAGGAGUAAGAAAGCAAGAGGAGUAGGAGAGAACACAAGCAAGAGUUCUACACUAAACUACUGCAAGCAACCAAGCAAGCACUACUGAAACUAAAGCAGAUAUUUUACAGAUACUUUACGAUAAUGUUUUUUACAGAACUAAAAUCACAGAUGCAAGCAAAACUACAGCAAAAAACUGAAACAUGUUUUCUCUGUAUUUUUCAGAAACAAAGUGUUUUGCUUGUCCUGCUCCUACAUAUCACCAAUCAACUUGUUUACUCCUGCAGAUCAGCAAGCAUUAAUUAAAAUUUCAUUUAAAGGAGUAAUUUUAAUUAACUGAAAAGUUUCAUUUGGUUUUAAUUAAAGGAAAAUUUUCAUUUAGUUUUAGUUAAACAAAACGUUUCAUUUACUCUUAUCUGAAAGGAGUAUCUAGUUAAAGGUUUCAUUUAUUGACAAGAACAGCAAGCAAAUGAUUGAACAACAAGUUUCAGUUAAUUUACUUGGAGUAGUAAAAACUUAGUGUCUAGAGCAAAGCAUUUGCACCAUUUGUCAGAUCUGUAGCUACUGUUAUUUUACUGUAUGUUUUUCUCUGUAUUUUCAUCAGAGCAUUCAGAAGCAUGCAAACAAAAGUUUCAAUACAGACAAACAAAUUUGUUUAAACAAUUUGCUGGAGUACUCCAAGACACUACAGCAAGCACUAAUCCUUGCUGGAAUGUCAUUGUUUGGCAUGAUGCAAUUUGCUGGAGUACAACAUGAUGCAAUUUUGUGGAGUACUCCAGUACUACAACAAGCAAUAAUCUUUGAGCAUGAUUUUUCAGUCAUGCUCAAGCACUAAUCCUUGCUGGAAAUCUCUGACAUAAAUUCAGUCAUGCUAAAGGGCUAAGAAAUUCAGUAAUGCUCACACAAGCAAGGAAGUAGGAGUACAUACCUGACGCAGGGCACAGGAAGAAGUAGCCAUGGCUCCCAAAAGGACGCAUCAGGCCUUGAAUUCCUCUGAGCAAGAUGACCACAUGAGCAAGAUGUUUAACAGUACAUCAAUGAAGAAAAGGGAAUAAAUCCAUGAGCAAGAUGGUUAACAUGAACAGUUAACUGAAACUAGCAAUACAUGAGCAAGAUGUUUACCAAGUGAUUGUACAGCAAGACUGCAGCCAGUACUACAGCAAUGUAAGAACAGAAGAUUCAAAUCCAUGAUGGCGGUCAUCAUCUGCCCCUCCCUCUCGUUCUCCAGUUUCAAUGUUUGGUAUCCAACCAACCAAGCAAAAGAGACAACUGUUUCAGAUCAAACAAAUCGACCGGCAGGAAGAAAGACUACCAGGAGUACUUACCGCGGGAGGAAGCAGCUACUCCGCGAUGACGACGACGUCGCUCCAGAUCCGCCGCUCCGGCACCGCUCCAGAUCCGCCGCUCGGGUGCCGCUCCACAUCCAUGCCUCUGUCGCCCAGAUCCAGCGCUAGCACAUGCACAUCCACGCCUCCGUGGAGUAGAAGCUCGUCGCCGGCGCAAAAGAUUGGAAUUUGUUUACCUCCGGGGUGUGAGUGGAGGCGGGGUGGUGGAGAAAUGGCGGUGGAAGAGGGAGAGGCCGGUGAGCUACGGGGAGACGGGGAGGCCGGCGAGCAACGAGGAGGCCGGCGAGCUACGGGGAGAGGGGGGAGGCCGGCGAGCGACGGGGAGGCCGGCUAGUGCGGCUGGGCGAGUGGGAGAGAGUGAGCGCGGGCAGUGCGGCUGGGCGGUGAGCGAGCGAGUGGAGCGACGCGGGGGGCAAAAUUGGAAAGUGCCGAUAUUUCGUUACUAGACGAAAGUUGAACUAAAAAAACCCCAACGACCUACAUUUCGGAAC